rfam:Salmonella enterica subsp. enterica serovar Typhimurium str. LT2, complete genome.
UUGCUAUCUGCGAUAUGGAAGAUUCGAACCUGCCGCAGGUUCGGGUCUCACGUAGUGAGACAACGGAGCCGCUUGCGGCGACGGCCCGAAGGGCGAGCAAAGCGAGUCAUCCUGCACGACCCACCA